UUCGAUUAGAGUUUGAUCAUGGCUCAGAUUGAACGCUGGCGGCAUGCCUUACACAUGCAAGUCGAACGGCAGCAUGAUCUAGCUUGCUAGAUUGAUGGCGAGUGGCGAACGGGUGAGUAAUACAUCGGAACGUGCCCUGUAGUGGGGGAUAACUAGUCGAAAGAUUAGCUAAUACCGCAUACGACCUGAGGGUGAAAGUGGGGGACCGCAAGGCCUCAUGCUAUAGGAGCGGCCGAUGUCUGAUUAGCUAGUUGGUGAGGUAAAGGCUCACCAAGGCGACGAUCAGUAGCUGGUCUGAGAGGACGAUCAGCCACACUGGGACUGAGACACGGCCCAGACUCCUACGGGAGGCAGCAGUGGGGAAUUUUGGACAAUGGGGGCAACCCUGAUCCAGCAAUGCCGCGUGUGUGAAGAAGGCCUUCGGGUUGUAAAGCACUUUUGUCCGGAAAGAAAUCGCACUUACUAAUAUUAGGUGUGGAUGACGGUACCGGAAGAAUAAGGACCGGCUAACUACGUGCCAGCAGCCGCGGUAAUACGUAGGGUCCAAGCGUUAAUCGGAAUUACUGGGCGUAAAGCGUGCGCAGGCGGUUGUGCAAGGCCGAUGUGAAAUCCCCGGGCUUAACCUGAGAAUUGCAUUGGUGACUGCACGGCUAGAGUGUGUCAGAGGGGGGUAGAAUUCCACGUGUAGCAGUGAAAUGCGUAGAGAUGUGGAGGAAUACCGAUGGCGAAGGCAGCCCCCCUGGGAUAACACUGACGCUCAUGCACGAAAGCGUGGGGAGCAAACAGGAUUAGAUACCCUGGUAGUCCACGCCCUAAACGAUGUCAACUAGUUGUUGGGGAUUCAUUUCCUUAGUAACGUAGCUAACGCGUGAAGUUGACCGCCUGGGGAGUACGGUCGCAAGAUUAAAACUCAAAGGAAUUGACGGGGACCCGCACAAGCGGUGGAUGAUGUGGAUUAAUUCGAUGCAACGCGAAAAACCUUACCUACCCUUGACAUGCCACUAACGAAGCAGAGAUGCAUUAGGUGCUCGAAAGAGAAAGUGGACACAGGUGCUGCAUGGCUGUCGUCAGCUCGUGUCGUGAGAUGUUGGGUUAAGUCCCGCAACGAGCGCAACCCUUGUCUCUAGUUGCUACGAAAGGGCACUCUAGAGAGACUGCCGGUGACAAACCGGAGGAAGGUGGGGAUGACGUCAAGUCCUCAUGGCCCUUGUGGGUAGGGCUUCACACGUCAUACAAUGGUGCAUACAGAGGGUUGCCAAGCCGCGAGGUGGAGCUAAUCCCAGAAAAUGCAUCGUAGUCCGGAUCGUAGUCUGCAACUCGACUACGUGAAGCUGGAAUCGCUAGUAAUCGCGGAUCAGCAUGCCGCGGUGAAUACGUUCCACGGGUCUUGUAGA
rnacentral:rRNA from 1 species